GCCUUCGUGGUGUAACGGUAGCACACUCGGUGCAUAUUCGAGAGAUCCAGGUUCGAAUCUUGGCGAGGACA
rnacentral:tRNA from 1 species